GACGGACGCUGGCUGCGUGCUUAACACAUGCAAGUCGAACGCUGAAGCCCCAGCUUGCUGGGGUGGAUGAGUGGCGAACGGGUGAGUAACACGUGAGUAACCUGCCCCUGACUUCGGGAUAAGCCCGGGAAACUGGGUCUAAUACCGGAUACGACUAUCGGACGCAUGUCUGGUGGUGGAAAGUUUUUUCGGUUGGGGAUGGGCUCGCGGCCUAUCAGUUUGUUGGUGAGGUAAUGGCUCACCAAGACGACGACGGGUAGCCGGCCUGAGAGGGCGACCGGCCACACUGGGACUGAGACACGGCCCAGACUCCUACGGGAGGCAGCAGUGGGGAAUAUUGCACAAUGGGGGAAACCCUGAUGCAGCGACGCAGCGUGCGGGAUGACGGCCUUCGGGUUGUAAACCGCUUUCAGCAGGGAAGAAGCCUUCGGAUGACGGUACCUGCAGAAGAAGUACCGGCUAACUACGUG
rnacentral:rRNA from 1 species